GGGGUGAGUAAACACGUGAGCAAACCCUGCCCCCGGGACUCUGGGAUAAGCGCUGGAAACGGUGUCUAAUACUGGAUAUGAGCUUCUGCCGCAUGGUGGGGUUGGAAAGAUUUUUCGGUUCGGGAUGGGCUCGCGGCCUAUCAGCUUGUUGGUGAGGUAAUGGCUUACCAAGGCGUCGACGGGUAGCCGGCCUGAGAGGGUGACCGGCCACACUGGGACUGAGACACGGCCCAGACUCCUACGGGAGGCAGCAGUGGGGAAUAUUGCACAAUGGGCGGAAGCCUGAUGCAGCAACGCCGCGUGAGGGAUGACGGCCUUCGAGUUGUAAACCUCUUUUAGCAGGGAAGAAGCGUGAGUGACGGUACCUGCAGAAAAGCGCCGGCUAACUACGUGC
rnacentral:rRNA from 1 species